rnacentral:tRNA from 1 species
CCGUCGAUAGCUCAGUUGGUAGAGCGGUGGACUGUAGAGGCUCACUCACGCAACACAGGCAUCCAUAGGUCGCUGGUUCGAAUCCGGCUCGACGGA